rnacentral:tRNA from 1 species
GCUCCGAUCGUCUAGUCCGGUCAAGGAUUCCGGCCUUUUUAGCCGAUGACCCGGGUAGCCUUUCUUUUCUUGUAAGAAAAGAAACCCUAGGGAAAGAAAAGAACAAGCCUUUCUUAAAAAGAAAGCCUUGGAAAAGAAAUUCAAAUUAGGGGCGCUCGGGAAUUCAAAUCCCGGUCGGAGCA